rnacentral:rRNA from 1 species
AUUGAACGCUGGCGGCAGGCCUAACACAUGCAAGUCGAGCGGAUGAAGGGAGCUCUCUCCUGGAUUCUGCGGCGGACGGGUGAGUAAUUCCCAGGAAUCUGCCCUGUAUUGGGGGAUAACGUCCCGAAACGGGCGCUAAUACCGCACCCGUCCAGAUUGAGAAAGUGGGGGAUCUUCGGACCUCACGCUACCAGAUGAGCCUAGGUCGUAUUAGCUAGUUGGUGAGGUAAAGGCCUACCAAGGCGACGAUCCGUAACUGGUCUGAGAGGAUGAUCAGUCACACUGGAACUGAGACACGGUCCAGACUCCUACGGGAGGCAGCAGUGGGGAAUAUUGGACAAUGGGCGAAAGCCUGAUCCAGCCAUGCCGCGUGAGUGAAGAAGGUCUUCGGAUUGUAAAGCUCUUUUAGUUGGGAGGAAGAGCAGUAAGUUAAUCCCUUGCUGUUUUGACGUUACCAACAGAGUAAGCACCGGCUAACUUCGUG